UGUAAACUAUUAUUUAUAUCCCUUGGCCC
rnacentral:piRNA from 1 species